rnacentral:SRP_RNA from 1 species
GCCGAGUCCAGUAACUUGGGCUUGUGACCCAAGUGGGGGCAUGAAAUUGAUGGGACAUUGAUUCAGUACCAGCGGGUUGGGUUCGAUUGGCUAUCGUCUGGGCUGCCCGUUCCAAGCUGAGAGUUGGCUCCUGUGGCUCUAGCGAAGGCUUGAACUGCAUGAAUCGUAGAGGGGAGGGCACCGCGUCAGGCUGGCUUCACAGAGCAUCGACCACCUCCCGCUCCUAGCAGUGGAAGGAUAACAGGCCGGUGUCACUUGGAUCCGUAUGGCCCAAUGGGCUGAUCUAAUUGGACCAUCAAUUUU